ensembl:lncRNA
GGUGAUCCUGUGUUGAGUAGGCUUUAUAGUCAGUAGUGGGAGAGGUGAUCCUGUGUUGAGUAGGCUUUAUAGUCAGUAGGGGGAGAGGUGGUCCUGUGUUGAGUAGGCUUUAUAGUCAGUAGUGGGAGAGGUGAUCCUGUGUUGAGUAGGCUUUAUAGUCAGUAGGGGGAGAGGUGGUCCUGUGUUGAGUAGGCUUUAUAGUCAGUAAGGGGAGAGGUGAUCCUGCGUUCAGCAGCUCAGUAGUCUGGUGUUAUGGGAGCACCAGCAUCACAGAGAAGCUGAACGCUUUCUUUAUUAGUCUGUGGUUAUAGACCAGUCUACACAGCAGCCAGACAGCCACUGGGACGUGUAGUGUAGUAGGCAACCUGGAAGAGUGUCUAUUUAAUAUCCAGUCACUGCCACACCGCUUCCUCUGUAGACCUUAGAAAGC